GAAAUAACAGACAGCUGCGCCCCUUGAACAGGUUGGACCGGUCGAGUUUUAAUUUUGCUUUCAGUUUGUUCUGCGUGUUAAAAUCUAGUUUCCACUGACGAAGACACUUGAGGAUCAAGCACAGGAUGAGCCAAUAAACUUUGCGUCUCACACCAGUCUGAAGUAUUUGACAAACCCGGCCGAAUCCGCUUGAUGAAAAGAUGGCAAAACCUGCAAAUAUCAAAAGCUGUGAAGAAUUGGAACAACUUUUGAGUACAUAUGCAGAACAAAUACAGGAGCUGUGUCGUCUUUACAACACAAAUCCAAAAAGUGAAAAAGGCCAACAAAAAAUUAUAAGGACUGCGGCAGAACAAAUCCAAAAGCUCUCCGAGGAAACUGAAGAUCAGUCAUUAUAUGUCUCAUCUAUACCCACUACUUUGGAAUCAGGAAUAGAAUUGAUAAAGAGAAUAAUACAGCAACGGGACAAUGAUUCUGAUGUUGUCCAGCCGUGUCGUUCCCAGAGUACGGCCAGAGAAGGAGAUCUCAGUGAUACUGAAAGACUUGGUGAGCACUUUUGGAGAAAACAAUCCACUUUGAAACUGCCUUCUCUCUCUCUCUCUCUCUCUCACACAUUCACUCACUCACUCACUCACACACACACUCUCUCUCUCACUCUCACACACACACUCUCUCUCUCUCUCACACACUCACUCACUCACUCACUCACACACACACUCUCACUCACACACACACACACAAACACACACACGCACACAAGAUACACAAGAUAG
rnacentral:lncRNA from 1 species